GACGAACGCUGGCGGCGUGCUUAACACAUGCAAGUCGAACGGAAAGGCCCCUUUGGGGGUCCUCGAGUGGCGAACGGGUGAGUAACACGUAAGUAACCUGCCCUUACCUUCGGGAUAACUUCAGGAAACUGGGGCUAAUACCGGAUAGGAAUCCUUUCUGCAUGGUGGGGGUUGGAAAGCUUCGGCGGGUUUGGAUGGACUCGCGGGUUAUCUGCUUGUUGGUGGGGUAGUGGCUUACCAAGGCUUUGACCGGUAGCCGGCCUGAGAGGGCGACCGGCCACAUUGGGACUGAGAUGCGGCACAGACUCCUAAGGGAGGCAGCAGUGGGGAAGAUUGCACAAUGGGCGGAAGCCUGAUGCAGCAACGCCGCGUGCGGGAUGACGGCCUUCGGGUUGUAAAACGCUUUCAGCAGGGGCGAAGCUUGUGGUGACGGUACCUGCAGAAGAAGCACCGGCUAACUACGUG
rnacentral:rRNA from 1 species